UAAUAAAUAUGGUCAACGUGGUCUAUCUAGCAGGAGUGGCCGUGGGGGCCAUUGUCGGUGGUUUAGCAGCAGACUACACUGGUCGCAAAUCUGUAUCUUUCAUCGCCUGUUUGGUACAUGGCGUAGGAUGAUUGGGAGCCGCUUUUUCACCUAACUACGGGGCUUAUGUUGCAUUCCGUUUCUUUGUUGGCAGCUGCCACGGUAUUCUUAUCAAUUCUGUCGUGGUUUUGUGUAUAGAAUUUGUGUCACCAAGAAGACGCAUGGUAUCCGUGUGCACAUUAGCUAUGUCCUGGGGUGUAGGAUUGGUG